GUUCAUAUUCAUCAGAAAACAGUCUCAGCUGGAGAGAAUGAGGGAGCCGCAUUGUUCCCUCCCUUACUGCUUGCACAGAAAGAUAUAAGCUGUGGGGGGGAAGCUACCUGAGGUUAUUAAGAUUAAUACAGCUAGAGAUUCCAAUCAACUUGCACAAGGCUGCUCCUCAAGGCUGUCAGAUGCCUACUGCCUUCUUUUAUUCAGACGGGCCACAUCAAUUUGGAAUUUCCCAACAGAGACUGCUAUGAUUUAUGGGUUUAGGAGGCUGAUAGAUGUGGUUAGCUGAAGUGUUCAUGAGAUAAUUGAAUCAGAAUAAUUUCAGUCAGCUGUGUUCAAUUUAUUUUCUCCGAUAACCACAGGAGGGUGCAAUUUUGGAUUGGGAGCUUCAUCUCAAGGAUUCCUAUCACAGGAAAGACAUUGUGGAACUUGGAAUAAGAGCAACUUAAUUUUGCUGCCAGGCACAUAUGACAGCCUUACAAGCUGCCUAAGAUUCAUCAAAACUGGAGAACUGCUUCUCUGGCUUGGAUCAAGUGCCUUACCAAGGAGGCUGCAGAUUUAUAUCCUUCAGCAGUCCCCGUUAUCCAGCCCUGCAUGGGACGUAGCACGUGUACGUGAUGCAUAUGAUGAAUACGGGAUCAGCAUUUACAAGCUGCAUGUAGUUCAGGAGCCAUAAGCUGGUCAUCCUUGCUGUUGAGCUUUUGCACGGCACAAUGUAAAUCUUGCUGGAGUAACUUAUCGGUGCAAAUGGAAAUCUAAAGAAAGUUUAUUACUGAAACAAAAGUACAAUCUGUAUUUCUGAAUUAUGAUAAUCUAUGGAAAUUAUUCUUGCAUACUGCCAUAUAAAGCAAUGAGAGAAAAAAUAGCCAGCAGUUCUUUUCUAUUGCUGGCUUCAAAUAGGUCAAGGUAAGAUGUUUGUAAACCUGGAAUUCCAUGUUGAAUUUCUUAUUUAAGCUGUAUUUUGGAAAAAUAUAGCACAAGAGUCACUAUUGAUUGCAAAGUGCUGGGAG
rnacentral:lncRNA from 1 species